AUUGAACUCAGGGGCACAUAACCACUGAGUCAUAUCCCCAGUCCUAUUUUGUAUUUUUAUUUAUAGACAGUGUCUCACUGAGUUGCUUAGCACCUCAAUUUCACUGAGGUUGGCUUUGAACUCACAAUCUUUCUGCCUUAGGCUCCCAAUCCGCUGGGAUGGCAGACAUGUUCCACCUCACUCAGCUUGAAUAGAUCUUUAAUUUCUCUUCUAUUUAUUUAUCUUUAAGAUGGGGCUAAUGCCACUUGCUUCCCAAGAUUAUAGUGAGAAUUAAAUGAAGUCAUAGAUAGUUAGCACUUAGUGCCUAGUGAGUGCUCCAUAAGCCAGGGGGAUGACAGGCCUUUGUAUUUUUGAUUUGUGGGCACCCAGAUAUAGCUCUUUUGGCAAAGCCUUGAACUACUCAGCAG
rnacentral:lncRNA from 1 species